rfam:Streptococcus pyogenes M1 GAS, complete genome.
CAAACUGGCUUGCUUUUAUGGUCUUUAUGUCUGUUCCUUACUUUGCUCAACUCUUUAACUUUUGUUAAGAAAUGAUCAUCUGCCAGCUCAAUCUCAAAGAAAGGUCAGACUGUUAAAAGGGAUGAUUUGUUGUCUCUUUGCGCUUUGUUA